CUAGAGGUCGGCCUGAUAGGCUCGUCGAGGGGGCGCCAGAGGCCCAGGAGGUGGCUAAUGUAGAAGUCCCUCCAGCAGAGUAGGGUUACCUUUUGUAAUGGCUUCGGCCUCUUUGUACUUAAAUUUAUUCAAUGAAAUGAAAUUUUUACUAAGUAUUUGGGCUUCUGCUUGUUUGUAUUUUCUAUCUGUUUAUAUUUGUAUGAAUGACAAACAUCAGACUAAUUGCCUCGCAACAAUAACCAGUUAAUAACUGCGGACUAGACCACUCAAGUUAAUAUAAGUUUAAACACUUAAGCGAGUAUGAAGCGACUCUUAAUGCCAACCUGUUAAUAAUUUGAGAUCGGACCACUUAAGCAAACAUGAAGAGCCCCUUAACGUUAAUCAGCUAAUAAUUGACGAUUGGAUCGCUUAAAUGAACCUUCUGAAGGACUGAGGAAACUAUUCACUAACUGAUGUGGCUCGGAACCGAAGAUUCAUUACUUAAGAUAAAUUACAUCACCCUUUACAAAGGUAAUUCCAGUAUUUAGGGAAUUUUACAACUGAGAUCAGAUCAGAACAAUCGAUUCAUUAUAACAUACUGAGAUCGGAUUGGAACAAAGUCUCAUUAUUGAUAGUACUUCCUCAAGUGUUCGAUGUUCCACUGAUGAGGCAGCGCCUUUCCUGACAUAUCUUCGAUUUCGAAGGUACCAGGUCGGGAUUCCCAGCGGAAGUGGUAAGGGCCUUCCCAGUUUGGGCCAAACACUCUUGACCCUGUUGGUUUUGAAAAUUGGAAAAACUCUUCUGAAGAGGAGGUCGCCCAAGCGAAGAGUUCUGUGCCUAACUUUGGAGUUGUAAUAGCGGGUCAUCUUUAGAUGAUAUUUUACCAAGAUCACUUGGGAGGCAUCUCUCUUUUCCUCAAGGAGGUGUAGUUCGCUUAUUCGAGCCUUGUCGUUGCUGAUCUCAUUGAAAUGUAUCCGUUGAUGUGAUGGGACCCCGACUUCUACCGGACUCAUGGCCUCGGCUCCGGAGGUCACGAAAAAUGGGGUUUCACCGGUUGCAGUUCGGCAAGAAGUCCUGAUAGCCCAGAGGACGUGGGGGAGUUCAUCAACCCAGGCCCCCUUUGAGAUAUCAAAUUUCCUUUUCAGGGUGUGUUUGAUAGUCUUGUUCACUGCUUCAACUUGCCCAUUCGCUUGGGGGUGAUGAGGUGUCGAGAAGUCCUUCUUUAUGCCCAGUUCGUCGCAUAAGUCUUGCAUCUUCCUAUUGUCGAACUGCCUUCCGUUAUCAGACACUAAGGAGUGGAAAAUGUCGAAUCUACAAAUGAUGUUUUUUCGAACGAACUUGGUAGUAUUAGCCUCGGUAAUUCUGGCAAGGGGUUCAGCCUUGACCCACUUAGUAAAGUAGUCAAUGGCGACAAUAGCGAAAGUUGCACUUUCUCUCCCUUUUGGGAGUGGACCAAUGAAGUUAAUGCCCCACUUGGCGAACGGCCAAGGGCUGGUUACUACGGAGAGGCUCUGAGCAGGCUGUCUUUGUAUGUUCGAGAAGCGCUGGCAUUUGUCACAUUUUUGGACAAAUUGGCAAGCAUCCCUUUUCAUGGUCGGCCAGAAGUAGCCUUGACGGAGAACCUUGUGUGCUAGAGCCGUUCCUCCGGAGUGAUUUCCACAGAUUCCUUCAUGGAUUUCCCUGAGUAUGUAUGUGGCCUCUUCGCCUCCUACGCAUCGAAGAAGAGGUGAAGCAAAGCCUCUUUUGUCAAGGGUAUUUUCUUGCAGGACGAAGUGUGCAGCCAUGCUUCUUAAUUUCCUCACCUCGCCUCUGGAAGCAGGCAGUGUUUGCUCCUUCAGGUACGCGAU
rnacentral:lncRNA from 1 species